GCAAGAAGCACUCAGGGCAGUGUAAGCAGCUGUCAACAAGGAAGUCAUCAAAUGGCAUUUCCUGCUUGGCCUUGGCCACCACUCCAUCUGAAGCUUCAAGCACAGUAAAUCACAAGAGAAACAGAGAGGAAGACAGGAGGGGACCAAGGACAUAAACAUCCCUUGGAGCUUUGGAAUCCUCAGCCCUGAAGAUUCAGAAAACCUCUCUCUCCCUUAGAGGUCUAUCUACACAGCAGUAGGGCUAGCCUCUCUCCUGCUGUCCUUUUCACCCUAUGUAAGAUGUAAGAUCCAUGUGCUCCUUCAGGAUCUGCCCAACAGAAAUCCUGCCCUACCUUCCCUCUUGUGCCUCUCCCCUGCUAACAGUGGUCUCUGUCAUGUCUCCCAGGUCCAGUUGCUGAUUGUCCCUCACAGUGCCUGUCCCUUGUCCAGCAGCAUUCACAGGACCAAGCAUAUAAACCUUGCUCUGAAUUGCCCUUAAUGGUCUCCUUAAAUGAUCAUACUUUGAAGGACCCCAAGUACUUUGAGCACCUCAGCAGUUUCAAGCCAUUAUUAAUGGCUUGAAUUCAUACUCUGUUUUUAUUUGCAUGUUAUAUUAAAAUUUGUGAGAUUUACUCAUGGAGCCACAGCUUUUAAAUCCAGAAGGACUGUUUAGUUCCCUUCCUCUCAUGUCCUGCACUAAUUACUUCUGUGUCAAGAAGUGGGCAUAAACCCACUGACCUGGCUGUCUAGGAGACAGCUGUGAUUUCAUCUCUACCUCAGAAAUUGUUUAUAAAGAAAUGAGAAGAAGGAUGUCUCAAAACAUGCAAACGAAAAAAGAGGAAAGAAAAAAAAAGUACUUGGUUACUCCAAUUUCAAAUUUUGUAGUGGAGACUAACAAAAAAAAAAAUCAAAAUAGCUCAAAUAGUUGAAAUAACUGGAAUUUCAUAUAUUCAUUUUACCAGAACAAAACCUUUGACUCACUCCAAAGUAACCUUUCUAGUUUUCUAAAACUUCCAACAAAUUAAUAACGGAGAAAACAAUUAUUUAUCAAGCUUUCAGUUGUAAUUUUUUUUUAAACAAGACUUUCUCUCCUUAUAAGGAAAGUCAACAGCCUUUGUUCUGAGGUAAUUCAAGUGCCUCCACAGUCAGGAAAGUUUCCAAGAUUUCAUCUUAGAUGUUUUGUGUUUUUCUUUUUUUUUCUUUUUUUUUUUUUCUUCCCCUCCACAGCACCUGACCUUUCCUCCAAGCUCCUUCCUUCCCUCUUUAAUCUGUAACCAGUACUUCAGUUGAGUGAUUCAGUUGGGUUUUUAUAUUUUCCUUGAGAGCAACCCAUACCUCUGUAGCGUGGACAGUGCUUCUUCUUGCUUCCUGACAAGCUGAAACUAAUUCCCAGUCCUACGGCCCAAAUUUCAUGGUAUUUGGACAUUGCCCAGUUCAGCACUGUGAAAGCUCAGGCUUACGUAUGUAGGCACCCAUUACCUACUGAAACCACAAGAAGUCAGGGAUACAUGGUCUGUAGUACAAAUCACCUGCACCCCAGCUUCAAUGUCAGUGUGACCAGUGGCAUGUGCUGCUCUGUGCUCCACUGCUGCACUUUUAACAUGGAUUUUACCCAAGGUUUGACUGACUACUUCUGACUAAGAAAAUCAAGCUUGGAGUCAACAGAUUAAAACCUCUAUCAGGGCCUCUCUAUCCAGGAGCAGUUCUGUGGCCAUUGCACACACAGAAGAGGACUGGCGAUCCUUAGCUGGGAAGCAGAAGUUGGCCCCAGGAGUGGAAAUGCCCAUGCUGUGUUGAGCGCCGCUGUCACAGAUGCACUGGAAGAGGGCAGCUAGGGACUGGGACAGGGACGGGGACCUCCUGGUGCUGUAAAACCAGUCAAGAUGGAAUGAUGCAGGGGUGGGCAACUGAUUGUCUCCUCUCCAGGAUGGAGAAGGACCAUGGUUACUUGCCUCUGACACCAGCAGGCAGAGUUUGGAGCUCCCUCUGGAGCUGAGGCUUCCGAUCUGCAGUUUUAUGCUCAUUUCAAGCUAGCUGAAGCAUGGAAUCAUUUCCACCACCCGGCCUGAAAACAUGCAAAGUGAGAGCUCCAUCCACCCACAUUUUUGGAAUGAGCAUCCCGCACCCAGAAACAAAGUGCUCCUGGGACCAUGAGGAGAGCGGGUGUCAGGACCCUGAUGUGCCUAGAGCGCUCAGAAAGGAAGAUGCCAUAGCAAAAAACAGUCCUUCUCCGUAACUUAUUUCUGCUUGUGUAGAUGGCAGAAUUGGAGUUCAGGUUUGUGGCAGACUGAAAUCUUUGGGGCAUAUACAGUGAUAAUAUUAUUAUAAAACCUUGUUUUUUAAUGAGAAAAUGAUGCAUUCUUUUUUUUUUUCCCUCUUAAGAGUGGUACAAAGCUCACAGUUGCAUGAUGAGAAAUAGCUAUUGUUCACAGAUAUUAACAGAAGCACAAAUCUGAUUCUUUGGUAGAGGAUCUGAUAGAUCACUAUGGAUCUGAAAGAUCACCAUGAUAUGGGAAAAGAAGGAGAAAAAAAAAUAUGAAAAAAGAAUAUGAAUAUGAGAUACUGAGUCUCCUACAUAGAGGGGCACAAGGCUCUCUAACAUAGAUCAGUGAAGGACUAGGUUGGCUGGAGGAGGACAGCAGAGAUGAGCAACAUGAUGUCUACAAGUGGCUACGGUAAGAGAAUUUGCAUGCAAAAAUACAGGAAAAUAACCUGGAUCUGGUCUUGCUCCCCUGACAGCAGGGGUUUCUGUACUGAAAUUUUCCUUAGAAAAGUAUCAGGAAAACAGAAGGGAACAAAUAAACCAAAAGAAGAUCGGAUGCAGGUUCCCUAGAGAUGUGAGGGCUUAGGACGUCCCCCAGUAAAGAUCCAACCGAACUGUUAAGGGAGUCAGUGGCAUGAUUGAUAUGCAUUGGAGGAAGACUAACAUCCUUUGACAAAUAGCAGUGGGAAAGAGAAGAAAAGAAAGUCCCACACAGAGCAAAUGGUUCUCCAACAGAAGCAGCCACCAUGGCAGUGCUGCUGGGAGAAGCUUCUGCUGGGAUUCCUCUGCAGCCAUCACUGGGGUAACUGGCUGCAUUAUUCUUGUUCGAACAGCUCUGUUCAGACCAUGUGGUGAGUCAUGCCAGCAUAUUUAGAUCCUUACAUAACCAAUGCCAAAAGGCAAGGUGUUACAGCAUUGCUAUGCCAACACAAAUGCCCAGGGACCAACUUUGCACUCAAGAAAAUGAGUAAGCAACCCCUCCAGAACAGACUGAGAGCAUCUCUUAGACAUCACCAGCAUGGUAUUUUGCUACAGGAAUGAGCUCUACCUCUGGUGGCAGAAUUUUUACCAAAUGCAGUACUGGUGAGGCAAGACUGAAAAACAAAUCAGGGCUAUUUCUACAUUCCCAGUGCAAACCCUGAUUCAUGGAGUUAUGCAUAUUGCCACAGUGACCUGUUGGUGCAUGUUUAAGCAUCAGAGGUAAAGUGUUUAGCUAGCAUUACAGGACCCUUGUAGACACUAGAGAUACAGAUGAGCAUCAUUGCAGUCUACCUACAAACAGGAACUGAAGAUUGAGUUUGCAGGUAUGAUUUGAAACUAAAUAGUAACAGGCAUGUUAUUCUCAUAUCACUCAAUUUUGAUGUCUCCUGUGGAAUUACAGGGCUCUCUCUAGCUUUGUGCUGUUGAAGAAAUGUGAAGUGGCCUUAACAGAAGGUAUUAUUUUACCAUAUUCUCCAAACUGGGCAUCUCACUUGGCUAUCCAAAACAGCAGCUGCCUCACACCUGCCCCCUGAAACAAGGGAAACUCCCUUUAUUAAAGGUUCAGUCCCCAGGAAACAGAAUGACACUCUUGCCUUGCAGAUACAUACCACACCCAGCACUUACUUCUAAUGAGGCUGGUAACCACUUCAAAGCAGCACUGCCCUGAGUAAUACUAAUUCCUGAGAGGGUUAAAUCAACACUUCCUAAAUAAGAGCACCUAGCAAACCCAAGGACUCCAGCUAGGAAAAUAUCUGCGCUGAGUGUGUCUGACUGUCUGACCCAGAAAGCCAAAGAAAACCGAGGGCCUGGAGAUUCCAAUGCCUCUUUAACAGCAGGACAUUGGGUGGGUGAAAGAUGAUGCCAGAAAGUUAUGUGACUCCUUAUGUCUCAGAGCAAGUGAAAGAAAGCUGUGAACCUGUCAAUCUGACCUUAGAAAAGUUUUCUUACCCAACGGCUGGUGAUAAUGUGGGACCUGUACAUGUAAGGAGGUGCUGGACAGCUUCUGUCCUAUCUUCCUACAAAAAUCUUUCUUGUCUGUAUUGCUUUAGAGGGGGUUAAACAGAAUUCCUAACCUGCAAGCCAAAAUCAAAUUACAGAACAUCCUUGAAGCAUGAGAUUAGAUCAGAACCACUGUUUUACCAGAGACAAAGCAAGAAAUCCCGUUUCCUGCAGGAGGGAUUGCAUAUCUCCACUCUGUCUUAAGACAUGCAAACCAAAGAGAGAAUGCCAGCAUGUUUUGUCAACAAGGGUGAAGAGAUGUUCUUAUCAAGUUUUCCCUUGCCUCCAAGGACCUGCUGAUGGCACCAAGUCAACUCUUCAGUUCUCGUAUUAUCAAAGUGAAAAUUCCUUUUUCUAAAGCCAGACCCAUUUCCUUCCUACAAACAAAUCGCUGCUAUUUGAGUGGGUCCUCUCCAAAACUACAGCUAUAUUUCUAAUUCACCUCAAACCACCUUGCUGGCCUCAGGCAGCAACCUCAGCACUGUACAGACCGCUCCUUAAAUUUCAGCUUCCAGCAGGUUUCACUUAGUUAAAAUAACAUAUUACCAAAGUGAUCUAUUCCAAUGGAGAUCUCCUCUCCAAAUGGACUAUCCAGAAUCUUGUCAUUUUUCUCUUUAUUUUGUGAUUGACACAUUUCCAUCCUGACUCUGGGGCAGGAUUGAAGUUCAGUAUCCCACAAACCCACAUGCUAGGAAUAUAUUUCUUAUGUCCUUUGAGACCUUGCAAACCCACCCUUUCAAGGCAGAUCAAGUGUUCUUGGUUUAAGAGCAUGACUUCAUGUGAGCCAAAACCAGAAUGGGACAGCAUCAGGAAUUUCUUCCAUGUCAUAUUAAUAUUUGCCUCUGAUUAGCUGCUUCCCAAAAAGUUUACUUCAUUUUUUCCCCAUUUGUUGUACCCAAGGACAGAAUGGCAACAGGCUCUGUAGAGAGAAUGAUUGAAGCCCAAAGCAUCUCAGACACGCAUUUUAUAUAAACACUGCUUCUUCUGAAAUAUUUGUUCUUCACCUCAUGCACUUGUUACUGAGUUGUGGACCAGUCACAAAUGGUAAUAUUCUGGUCUAUACAGAAAGCUUCUUCAGCUUUUAUAAAGAGGUGUAAACUUCAA